rnacentral:rRNA from 1 species
AGUGAACGCUGGCGGCAGGCCUAACACAUGCAAGUCGAACGGCAGCACAGGGGAGCUUGCUCCCUGGGUGGCGAGUGGCGGACGGGUGAGGAAUACGUCGGAAUCUGCCUAUUUGUGGGGGAUAACGUAGGGAAACUUACGCUAAUACCGCAUACGACCUACGGGUGAAAGCGGAGGACCUUCGGGCUUCGCGCAGAUAGAUGAGCCGACGUCGGAUUAGCUAGUUGGCGGGGUAAAGGCCCACCAAGGCGACGAUCCGUAGCUGGUCUGAGAGGAUGAUCAGCCACACUGGAACUGAGACACGGUCCAGACUCCUACGGGAGGCAGCAGUGGGGAAUAUUGGACAAUGGGCGCAAGCCUGAUCCAGCCAUGCCGCGUGUGUGAAGAAGGCCUUCGGGUUGUAAAGCACUUUUGUCCGGAAAGAAAAGCACUGGGUUAAUACCCUGGUGUCAUGACGGUACCGGAAGAAUAAGCACCGGCUAACUUCGUG